GAAAUAGAUUCAAAGCCUUUGAAUAGAAUGGUUCGUGUGUGGAUCUUGAGGGUGUCGCUCCUGUGCGUAUCUGUGGAUGUGCUAUGUGGAUCUAUGCUGCGGAUGCCGAACUUCCUUUGUAUUCCGCCAUAUGUUGCAGAACAGGGACGCUGUGUUCUGCCCACAUCAUAAUAUCCCAACACAUACACCUCAACAGACAUCGCAGAAAUUCACGACGAUAUCCCAGCUUAUCACUGCAUAUAUCCCUACCAUACCAAUAGCAGUGACCCAAUUUUCAACGCAUAAUCGAAUACUUUCAGCAUUACAAUGGCUCCGCAACCGACAUCCCACACCAUGCAGAAUAUUCCUCGGCCAGGUAUUCCUGGUAUAAAUAAACCAAAAAUACAAAAUUUACCCCCUAAUAACGGCCCUAAAAUAGGGAUUCCAAAAAUAGUAGUCCCAAACACAAAUAUGCCAAAUAUUCCUAAUGUAAACCAUCCGAAUGUACCACCAAUUGGAACACCCAAACAAAAGAUUCCCGGGGUUGGUAUCCCGACUAUUCCAACGCCAGAUAUUCCUGAUAUAAAGCACCCAAAAAUAACAAAAUGACCACCAAUUAACCGCCCUUAAAUAAAGACUCCUUAACCAGUCAGCCCAAAUAUUAAUAUGCAAGAUAUUCUUCUUACAUUAGAGUUCUCUAUUUAGUAAAAAACGAUCAAUAAAUAUUAUGUUGGCUGCUUCACCGGUAAUCCUCAUCUGUAGCCCUUACAUACAUA